UGCUGUUGAAAAAGCAUGGGAUGAGCUGUGGAUAGCGGAGAAAUUCCAAUCGAACCCGGAGAUAGCUGGUUCUCUCCGAAAUAGCUUUAGGGCUAGCGUCGAGUAUGAGUAGUGGAGGUAGAGCACUGAAUGGGCUAGGGGGCAUAGCGCUUACCGAACCUUAUCAAACUCCGAAUGCCACAUACUUUGAGCUCGGCAGUCAGACUACGAAUGAUAAGAUCCGUGGUCAAAAGGGAAACAGCCCAGAUCGUCAGCUAAGGUCCCAAAGUGUAAGUUAAGUGGGAAAGGAUGUGAGAUUUCUAAGACAACUAGGAUGUUGGCUUAGAAGCAGCCAUUCAUUAAAAGAGUGCGUAAUAGCUCACUAGUCGAGAGAUCUUGCGCCGAAAAUGUAACGGGGCUAAACUUACCACCGAAGCUACGGGCUUGAACUUAGUUCAAGCGGUAGGAGAGCGUCGUAACCGGGCUGAAGUCGUACCGUAAGGAGCGGUGGACUGGUUACGAGUGAGAAUGUUGGCAUCAGUAGCGAGAUGUGGGUGAGAAUCCCACAGGCCGAAAACCUAAGGUUUCCUCAGGAAGGUUCGUCCGCUGAGGGUUAGUCGGGACCUAAGCCGAGGCCGAAAGGCGUAGGUGAUGGACAACUGGUUGAUAUUCCAGUACCACUACCAUCGUUAUUAUCGAUGGCGUGACGCAGGAGGAUAGUGUGUGCUAGCUAUUGGAUGCUAGUCUAAGCGUUUAGGCAGUGAGAGUAGGCAAAUCCGCUCUCAUAAUGCUGAGGCGUGAUGGGGAAGGUUCUACGGAACCGAAGUACAUGAUUCCACGCUGCCAAGAAAAGCGUCUAGAGAGAGAAGUAGUGCCCGUACCGCAAACCGACACAGGUAGGUGAGGAGAGAAUCCUAAGGCCGGCGGAAGAAUUACAGUUAAGGAACUCGGCAAAUUGACCCCGUAAGUUCGCGAGAAGGGGUGCCUACGAGAGUAGGCCGCAGAGAAUAGGCCCAAGCAACUGUUUAGCAAAAACACAGGUCUCUGCUAAAGCGUAAGCUGAUGUAUAGGGGCUGACGCCUGCCCGGUGCUGGAAGGUUAAGGGGAACACUUAGCGCAAGCGAAGGUGUGAACUUAAGCCCCAGUAAACGGCGGCCGUAACUAUAACGGUCCUAAGGUAGCGAAAUUCCUUGUCAGGUAAGUUCUGACCCGCACGAAUGGCGUAAUGACUUGGGCACUGUCUCAACUGUGAAUCCGGCGAAGUUGUAGUGCGAGUGAAGAUGCUCGCUACCCGCGAUUGGACGGAAAGACCCCGUAGAGCUUUACUGUAGCUUAGCAUUGAGUUUUGGUAUUGUCUGUACAGGAUAGGUGGGAGACUAGGAAACCAGGGCGUCAGCCUUGGUGGAGUCAACCUUGGGAUACCACCCUGACAGUACUGAAAUUCUAACUGGCGGCCAUGAAUCUGGUCACAGGACAUUGUUAGGUGGGCAGUUUGACUGGGGCGGUCGCCUCCUAAAAAGUAACGGAGGCGCCCAAAGGUUCCCUCAGAACGGUCGGAAAUCGUUCGAAGAGUGCAAAGGCAGAAGGGAGCCUGACUGCGACACCCACAAGUGGAGCAGGGACGAAAGUCGGGCUUAGUGAUCCGGUGGUACCUCGUGGGAGGGCCAUCGCUCAACGGAUAAAAGCUACCUCGGGGAUAACAGGCUGAUCUCCCCCAAGAGUCCACAUCGACGGGGAGGUUUGGCACCUCGAUGUCGGCUCGUCGCAUCCUGGGGCUGAAGUAGGUCCCAAGGGUUGGGCUGUUCGCCCAUUAAAGCGGCACGCGAGCUGGGUUCAGAACGUCGUGAGACAGUUCGGUCCCUAUCCGUCGCGGGCGUAGGAAAUUUGAGAGGAGCUGUCCUUAGUACGAGAGGACCGGGAUGGACUGACCUCUGGUGUACCAGUUGUUCCGCCAGGAGCACAGCUGGGUAGCUAAGUCGGGAAUGGAUAAACGCUGAAAGCAUCUAAGCGUGAAGCCAACCUCAAGAUGAGAUUUCCCAUAGCGUAAGCUAGUAAGAUCCCUUGAAGAACACAAGGUUGAUAGGUCAGAGGUGUAAGUGUGGUAACAUAUUUAGCUGACUGAUACUAAUAGGUCGAGGGCUUGACCAA
rnacentral:rRNA from 1 species